rnacentral:rRNA from 1 species
GACGAACGCUGGCGGCGUGCUUAACACAUGCAAGUCGAGCGGAAAGGCCCUUCGGGGUACUCGAGCGGCGAAAGGGUGAGUAACACGUGAGUAACCUGCCCCAGACUUUGGGAUAACCCUAGGAAACGGGGGCUAAUACCGGAUACGACACAGCUUCGCAUGGGGUCUGUGUGGAAAGUUUUUCGGUUUGGGAUGGGCUCGCGGCCUAUCAGCUUGUUGGUGGGGUGAUGGCCUACCAAGGCGACGACGGGUAGCCGGCCUGAGAGGGCGACCGGCCACACUGGGGCUGAGACACGGCCCAGACUCCUACGGGAGGCAGCAGUGGGGAAUAUUGCACAAUGGGCGGAAGCCUGAUGCAGCGACGCCGCGUGAGGGAUGACGGCCUUCGGGUUGUAAACCUCUUUCAGCAGGGACGAAGCGUAAGUGACGGUACCUGCAGAAGAAGCGCCGGCCAACUACGUG